AUCCCUGCCUCGAGUAUAGCUCUGGCAAACAUCCUCGCUCCUUCAGGUGCAUUUUAGGAAUUGAGCCGUCCUUCCAGAUGGUGCACUGAGAACGAUUUUCGGGUCACGGGAAGGAAGACAGAGGGUCGAGGAGGCCAGAGAUCUUCACAAGUUUAUGCUGCUUAAGUCUCUCUUUGGAAUAAUAAUUGGUUCAUGGCUGUGCAUCAGGUAGGGAAUGCACUUUGCUCUGCAUGUUGAUCAUCUAUAGUUUACUUAUUUUUGUUUAACACAAAUAUUCAACUCUUAUCUACAUGAUGGUAUUGAUAAGAUCACUCAGGACCAGCCUAUUGAACUAAGUAGAGUAAGUCUACAUAUUAGAGAGAAACCUGUGUUUAAUCCACCCAUUCUUACUUUCUCCCUGUGCUUCUCAAAAAGUAUGUUUCCUGAAUAAAUAACAGCUGCUGCGUAAAAGCCAAGAUCAGUUUCACAGGCGACAUUUUGUUUAAUGAAUUCACCGUCUGACAUGUAAAACAAAUAGCAGCCAAGUUUAAUAAGCUGUAAAUGAAAAGUGAAAGAUUUUCUGCCGGGUUGUGAAAGAGUGAUGCAGGCUGCUUUCCAGCACCAGUGGCAUAAUGUGCAGACCAGUCAGACUGCAUACUUUGAUAAAACCAGUUCUGAUGGAGAGACAGCAGCUUCAGUUUACAGGGCUGAUUAUUGGCGGAGUAACCGUGAUAUUAAUGAGCAGGUCUCUGUUUUUACAGACGGACUUGGACGAGACGCCAUCAAGCUGCUGAUCUGACGGACAUCCACAGGAACAAGCUGACCCUUCUUUCCAUUCCAGGAAACAGCUCAUCUUUUCUCUGCUGAUUUCAAGAGUGUUCUUCAUCACAUCGCUUUGAAGAAACUGUGAAAGUGGAUGUGAGUUGAGCAGCAUGAGUCAGUGUGAGGACAGAGA